rnacentral:rRNA from 1 species
CCUGGAAACAGAUGCUAAUAACCGGAUAACAANAGAUGAUGCCUAUCAACUGUUUAAAAGAUGGUUCUGCUAUCACUCUUGGAUGGACCUGCGGUGCAUUAGCUAGUUGGUAGGGUAACGGCCUACCAAGGCGAUGAUGCAUAGCCGAGUUGAGAGACUGAUCGGCCACAUUGGGACUGAGACACGGCCCAAACUCCUACGGGAGGCAGCAGAC